UACGUAGGGUCCGAGCGUUGUCCGGAUUUAUUGGGCGUAAAGAGCUCGUAGGCGGCUUGCUAAGUCAGGUGUGAAACCUCCAGGCUCAACCUGGAGCCGCCACCUGAUACUGGUAUGGCUAGAGUCCGGUAGGGGACCACGGAAUUGCCGGUGUAGUGGUGAAAUGCGUAGAGAUCGGCAGGAACACCCAGGGGGAAACCAGUGGACUGGCACGGUGCUGACACUCAUGUGCGAAAGCGUGGGGAGCGAACCGG
rnacentral:rRNA from 1 species